ACAGUCUUGCCUUCUUUCAUAUUUGUAUGGGAUAGGUUUCUAAAUUCUUUCAAUCUAGCUGAUAUUUAAAUUGAUAUUUAUUUAUUUAUGAUAGAGUAAAUUAAAAAUAUACAGUUAGGUAUUGCUUUUAAUGAAAUCUGACUUAUUUUUAAUUGGUAUGCUUAAAUCAUCUACAUUUAUUAUAAUUAUUGGUAUGUCUGAGUUAAAGUCUAUCACUUCCUGUUUUUUUAUUUAGUUGUUUCUUUUUCCUUUUUCACUUUCUUUUGGAUUAUAUAUUUAUCUUUAAUAAAUUUCAUCUUCAUUUGUGCCUAUUAUAUUAUUCUUUAAACUAUUGAUUCUUAUACUAUGUUUAUAACAUAAAUGUGUAAAUAGUUAUGUCUUCAAAUACUAUCACAGUGUUUCACAUAUAGGUGUAUAAUUCUCAACUGCAUCAUCCUUGUUCCUGCUGUCAAUCUUGAUCAUAUUGAUUUCAUGUAUUUUAAUUCGCAUGGAAAAAACAACAGUUUUCCAACACUAUUUUUUCGAUAAAUAAUAAGUUAUCUUUAGAUUGAUUAAAAACAGACAAGGUGAAUAUCAGUAUUUGUUUUAUUUUACCACAUCUGAACUACAAUCCAUGUGUUUGUGCGACAAUCAUAUUCCUUCUGCCUGAACAGCUUUCACUGUAAACUCACUGUAAGUUCCCUCUGUUUUUGAAAUUUUGAUUUCUAAAGCACGGUUCUUUACUUCUUUUCCUUUCUUUUCUUUCCUUUCCUUUUCAGCUGGAUACAGAAUUCUUCUUCAAGAACUUUUUCCUUCAGCAGUUUUUAAAAUGUCACUGCACUGUCUCCUACCUUACACAAUUUCCAAUGAUAAAUGUGUCGUACUCCUCUUUCUGAAUGAACAAGAAAUGUGUCUUUUCAAUGGCUGCCUCUUCUACUUGUGUGUUUAUUCUUUUAAUGACAGGGUUUGGCAAGCUGUCAUACAAGGACUACUUUGGAGCUUCAAUGGAAACUUGAAUCAUUGUGAUGUAUAA
rnacentral:lncRNA from 1 species